rnacentral:rRNA from 1 species
GGCGAACGGGUGAGUAACACGUGAGUAACCUGCCCUUAACUCUGGGAUAAGCCUGGGAAACUGGGUCUAAUACCGGAUAUGACUCCUCAUCGCAUGGUGGGGGGUGGAAAGCUUUUUGUGGUUUUGGAUGGACUCGCGGCCUAUCAGCUUGUUGGUGAGGUAAUGGCUCACCAAGGCGACGACGGGUAGCCGGCCUGAGAGGGUGACCGGCCACACUGGGACUGAGACACGGCCCAGACUCCUACGGGAGGCAGCAGUGGGGAAUAUUGCACAAUGGGCGCAAGCCUGAUGCAGCGACGCCGCGUGAGGGAUGACGGCCUUCGGGUUGUAAACCUCUUUCAGUAGGGAAGAAGCGAAAGUGACGGUACCUGCAGAAGAAGCGCCGGCUAACUACGUGCCAGCAGCCGCGGUAAUACGUAGGGCGCAAGCGUUAUCCGGAAUUAUUGGGCGUAAAGAGCUCGUAGGCGGUUUGUCGCGUCUGCCGUGAAAGUCCGGGGCUCAACUCCGGAUCUGCGGUGGGUACGGGCAGACUAGAGUGAUGUAGGGGA